rnacentral:rRNA from 1 species
UACGUAGGGUGCAAGCGUUAAUCGGAAUUACUGGGCGUAAAGCGUGCGCAGGCGGCUUUGCAAGACAGAUGUGAAAUCCCCGGGCUUAACCUGGGAACUGCAUUUGUGACUGCAAGGCUAGAGUACGGUAGAGGGGAUGGAAUUCCGCGUGUAGCAGUGAAAUGCGUAGAUAUGCGGAGGAACACCGAUGGCGAAGGCAAUCCCUGGACCUGUACUGACGCUCAUGCACGAAAGCGUGGGAGCAAACAGG